UACGUAGGUGACCAGCGUUGUCCGGAUUUACUGGGCGUAAAGAGCGCGCAGGCGGUCGUUCAAGUCGAGUGUGAAAGCCCCCGGCUCAACUGGGGAGGGUCAUUCGAUACUGAUCGACUUGAAGGCAGGAGAGGGAAGCGGAAUUCCCGGUGUAGUGGUGAAAUGCGUAGAUAUCGGGAGGAACACCGGUGGCGAAGGCGGCCUGCUGGGCAGUAGCUGACACUGAGGCGCGACAGCGUGGGGAGCAAACAGG
rnacentral:rRNA from 1 species